rnacentral:rRNA from 1 species
GACUAGUUACAAAGGGCGCACGGUGGAUGCCUUGGCACUAGGAGCCGAUGAAGGACGGAACUAAUACCGAUAUGCUUCGGGGAGCUAUAAGUAAGCUUUGAUCCGGAGAUUUCCGAAUGGGGGAACCCAGUACACAUCAGUGUAUUGCUUGUCAGUGAAUACAUAGCUGGCC